rnacentral:snoRNA from 1 species
UUUCUAUGAUGAUCGCAAUCUUUGGUCCGUGUUUAUGAGGUGCUUAAGACCCACCGCAUGAGUGACAAAGGAGAUUUUAAUCUGUUAGCUGAGUCA